rnacentral:rRNA from 1 species
GAUGAACGCUAGCGGCAGGCUUAACACAUGCAAGUCGAGGGGUAUAGUUCUUCGGAGCUAGAGACCGGCGCACGGGUGCGUAACGCGUAUGCAAUCUACCUUUUACAGAGGGAUAGCCCAGAGAAAUUUGGAUUAAUACCUCAUAGUAUUAUGAAAUGGCAUCAUUUUAUAAUUAAAGUCACAACGGUAAAGAUGAGCAUGCGUCCCAUUAGCUAGUUGGAAGGUUAACGGCUUACCAAGGCUA